UAAGCAUAUCACUAAGCGGAGGAAAAGAAACUAACAGGAUUCCCCUAGUAACGGCGAGUGAAGCGGGAAGAGCCCAGCACCGAAUCCCCUGCCUUUGAGGUAGCGGGACCUGUGGUGUUUAGGACAGCCUCUGGGGCAGCGUUCUGGCGUCCGAGUCCUCCUGAUCGGGGCCUUUCCCAUAGCGGGUGUCAGGCCUCUACUGGCGCCGGUCACUGUCCCUCUGAGCGUCCUUGGAGUCGGGUUGUUUGGGAAUGCAGCCCUAAGUGGGUGGUAAACUCCAUCUAAGGCUAAAUACAGACACGAGUCCGAUAGCGGACAAGUACCGUGAGGGAAAGUUGAAAAGAACUUUG
rnacentral:rRNA from 1 species